AGGGUGGAGGGAUUAUGAUUUUUAAUCCUAAUUUGAUUACUGUGGGUGGAUGAGAAUUUGGCACAAAGCCUCCAGAAGAGGUGACGGAUGAGGGAGAAGUCAGACGAGUGUUUACAAGGCGCGGUAAGGGUGGGAGCAGUGGCGAGGGACGGAAACCCGAGUUCAGGCGUCAUCUGAAGAAAGGCAGGAACCUGGUGAGGCAGAGGGAGUGCGGGCAUGUGGGUGACACGAGGCCCACGCAUUCUUUCUUGAAACGUUAAAUCUGGGUUGCUUUGCCUUUCAGAUCUAAAAUGGUCCCUGGCUCCUGUAAGUGUGCAUAUGUUGAUCGUCACUCAAGAGGCGCUCUGGGGGUAAGAAGUCAGGGCCAAAGGGCGGCUUUGCCCUUUCCAGAUCAAAACUGGGGAGAAGGCCGCUAAGGACCACUGGCUUCCAGGAGCGCGGGAACAUUUCCCGGGCGGCCCUGCCCCCUGCUGGAGAGGUCCCAUCCCCGUGUCCCCGUGGCGGUGAUCUCAGGCGUGGCGGGAGGGGUGCAGGCCGGGGACUUUGGGAAGCAGCGGCGGUGGAGCUUGGUGGGGCUGGGACUUCUGGUCCUGGGGCGGGAUUCCAUGUUAACACGUGGGCCUCGGGAGAGUUUGGAGGCCCCGCCUGGCGUGAAUUGUUGGCAGAAGAGGAGGGGGAAGCACUGGCAGAACCGGGCAGUGUGUGGAGGACCCCGAAGCAAAGGCGGUGAGAGGGAACGGAAGGCCAGGGGGUAGGAGACCGGCCUGAGCGCGUGGCCCCUCCUGGGGGGCUGCUCGCAGGGACCAGUGCGGACGCCGGGUGCUGUCACGUGUGCUGCCGAUGGGACGCCGCUUUCCCGCUGCUCUGCCAGCCCUCAGUACCUGCUCUUGGCAGCUUCGCCUUCCCUCUCGUAGCCCUGUCUGUGUGACCUUCCCUUUCGGAGCAGCCACGCGUUCUGUGAUGGGCUGCAGAGCCAGGCCGAGGAGUGCCGUGUGAGCACUGAAGGCCGAGUCCAGACCUCGCUGCUUCCACUAGACCAGGAACCUCCAGAACUACAAAAGGAAAUUUAUUUCAACAGCAAAAGAGAACAUUUACAUUCGAACACAAUGAUGAAAGGAUGUCCCGCGAAAGGAAAAAAAAAGCCCGUAACAUGAAGUU